UACGUAGGGGGCGAGCGUUGUCCGGAGUUACUGGGCGUAAAGCGCUUGUAGGCGGUCCACCAAGUUUGGGGUGACAGUUGCCGACUUAAUCGGCAAAGUGCCUCAAAGACUGGCGGACUUGAGGGCCACAGAGGGACAUGGAACUCCAGGUGUAGUGGUGAAAUGCGUAGAUAUCUGGAAGAACACCAAAGGCGAAGGCAGUGUCCUGGGUGGUCGCUGACGCUGAGGCACGAAAGCUAGGGGAGCAAACAGG
rnacentral:rRNA from 1 species